GGGGGCGAAACGGAUUCGACGGGGAUAGAGAAGCUUAGGUUGCAUACCGAGGUUCCAUCUGCUCGUAAAACAGGUGGGUCUAACACAAACGCAGACGAUUACGCGUAUGCCCUAGCCGCAUAAAAGGCUAGCGUCCUCUCGGUUCAUGCCUGCGGGACCGGGCAGGGCGUCGACUAGUAGGCUAGCUAACCCGAUUGACCUGUAGAUCGGUGAAGCGAAAACUAAUACAGGUUAGCCCUUUGGCAGCCUUGCCUGAUUGCGAACCUUGGGGCGAAAAUAAGAAAUCGGGCUAAGUAUGUAGAGGCCUACGUGGAAUGUUUCCGGACGGGGGUUCGACUCCCCCCGCCUCCACCA
rnacentral:tmRNA from 1 species